rnacentral:rRNA from 1 species
UACGAAGGGGGCUAGCGUUGCUCGGAAUCACUGGGCGUAAAGGGUGCGUAGGCGGGUUCUUAAGUCAGAGGUGAAAUCCUGGAGCUCAACUCCAGAACUGCCUUUGAUACUGAGAGUCUUGAGUUCGGGAGAGGUGAGUGGAACUGCGAGUGUAGAGGUGAAAUUCGUAGAUAUUCGCAAGAACACCAGUGGCGAAGGCGGCUCACUGGCCCGAUACUGACGCUGAGGCACGAAAGCGUGGGGAGCAAACA